UACGGGGGGGGCAAGCGUUGUUCGGAAUUACUGGGCGUAAAGGGCUCGUAGGUGGCCAACUAAGUCAGACGUGAAAUCCCUCGGCUUAACCGGGGAACUGCGUCUGAUACUGGAUGGCUUGAGUUCGGGAGAGGGAUGCGGAAUUCCAGGUGUAGCGGUGAAAUGCGUAGAUAUCAGGAGGAACACCGGUGGCGAAGGCGGGUCUCUGGGCAGUAACUGACGCUGAGGAGCGAAAGCGUGGGGAGCGAACAGG
rnacentral:rRNA from 1 species